CCUCCCGUCACCCGGGGUUUUUCUGUGUGUGUAUUCAGAGCCAGUGAGCAGCAGACUUUUUAAAUAAUUUACAAAAUAAUAAAAAACUUCGUUAACGCGCGAUAAAAUAUUUGUCGGCGUUAAUGAGUUAACGCGAUAAUAACGCGUUAACUUUCCCAGCCCUAAUUAAUACAUCAGCAUCACCUUCUGUCUGUUUUGUAUACUGUCAUUGUGUUAUUUGUGGGGUUUUUUUGCUUUAUUUUUUGUUGGCCAAUUCCUGCUACAGAUAGGGGUUAACAACUAAGAUAGCCAGUGUCUUCCGCUGGCAAAACUUUUGUGCUCUGCCGACCCAGACUGUAUGAAUACGUAUGCUCGCUGACCACAUGGCUCCCCCAGCCAAAUUUCCAGAUCUUCAAGUGCUAUCAUGCCAGCAGGCUCGCUGAGUUUGGCCAUUUCGAUCAAGCCUUUGAGUACUGCAAGACCAUCGCUACAACAAUUGCUAUAUUUCCACUAGAAAUCAAAACCACGAUUUGUCUGAGAGGCUACACCAAGGGAAGGGAAAAGAACCAGAGUGGCUUUAAAGUCUUCAUCAACUGUAUGCAGACAGUGUUUAAGUUGAAGAACUCCAAAGGUGGCCUUAUGACUAGUGAGAUAUUCACUCUCCAGUGUCCACGUGAGGAAGGCCAUAUUACACCAUGGAGUAUGUUCAUUCACCAUUUGGACAAAAAACUGAACUGAUCUGAAUCACACAGCAAAGAAUUUACAGUAAUGAUUUAAAGUAAAGUAAAGAUCUGUAGCACAUGUCUGUCAGAACACAUUAUACUGGGUGAAAACCGUCUAAUCAGUUCAUAUAUUUGCAUGUAAAAGGUUUAUUAAAAGGUUUGAAUCUAAUAUGGUCAUAUUUACAUAAAGUGUAUAUUAGUCUUUGGGUAAGAGACAGAAGGGAUCAGAGCUUAGGUGGCAUUAAAUAUGCAGAGUGUGUAAGCUGUAAGCUUGUUAAGACAACACAAAGAGGGUGGAAAAUGUGUGUUUUAGCAGGUACUCAUCUUUACCUUUCUACACUCUGAGACAUUGACAACACACGUCUUAUUUGUCACUGAAUGAUUGUAUAGUUGUUUAACAGAGGUGUUUGAGUCCCUAUACACUCCGGGAGAACUGCUGGGUGAAGGAGGUUUUGGGAGUGUGCAGGAGUCCAUAAGGCAGAUGGAAAACAGAUAACAACUGCACAUCUACAGUCAAUUAGCACUAAUCAGGUUGCCAUUAAAUAUGUGGGCAAGGAAAUAAAUGAAGCUUUCAUUACUAUUGUAAGUAAACUUCCUUUAACUCUGAAUUGCACAGAAUUUAUGUGAAGAAUUAUAUGUAAAUUGAAUUGUUCGUGCACCAUGACAUCAAGGCGGAGAAUAUACUCAUCCACACCAAUACACUGAAGCUGAAGCUGAUAGACUUUGGCUAU